AACCCAUGAUGACGGCAUUGGUUUAUGUAGCUCCUAAACCUCUCCCAAGCAUCACCAAAGCUUUCAUUGUUAUGUUGUGUGAAACUGGAGAUUUUGUUUCUCAGUUU
rfam:Eutrema salsugineum unplaced genomic scaffold scaffold_14, whole genome shotgun sequence.